rnacentral:tRNA from 2 species
GGCCCCGUAGCUCAACUGGACAGAGCACCGGACUUCUAAUCCGAUGGUUGCAGGUUCGAGUCCUGCCGGGGUCGCCA